UUCCUUUUCUCGGUCUUUUGGCUAACAUCAGGUGUAGUAUAUGUGUUCUUAUAAUUUUAAUAUAUGAUAAGUAGGUUAUUUGCCUACUUUGAUAUUAGAUUUUUUUUUUAGGAGAAUCCAUCAUAGUGGCUUAACAUCGAGGCCCUCACAUGUCACUAGGCGUUGCAAUACAGCCCAACCAAAACAAAUUAAAG